AAGGGCUCGUAGGCGGUUUGUCACGUCGGGAGUGAAAACUCAGGGCUUAACCCUUGAGCGUGCUUCCGAUACGGGCUGACUAGAGGGAUGCAGGGGAGAACGGAAUUCCUGGUGUAGCGGUGGAAUGCGCAGAUAUCAGGAGGAACACCGGUGGCGAAGGCGGUUCUCUGGGCAUUUCCUGACGCUGAGGAGCGAAAGCAUGGGGAGCGAACAGGAUUAGAUACCCUGGUAGUCCAUGCCGUAAACGUUGGGCGCUAGGUGUGGGGACCUUCCACGGUUUCCGUGCCGCAGCUAACGCAUUAAGCGCCCCGCCUGGGGAGUACGGCCGCAAGGCUAAAACUCAAAGGAAUUGACGGGGGCCCGCACAAGCGGCGGAGCAUGCUGAUUAAUUCGAUGCAACGCGAAGAACCUUACCUGGGUUUGACAUAUGCCGGAAAGCGCCAGAGAUGGUGCCCCUUUUUGUCGGUAUACAGGUGGUGCAUGGCUGUCGUCAGCUCGUGUCGUGAGAUGUUGGGUUAAGUCCCGCAACGAGCGCAACCCUCGUCCUAUGUUGCCAGCACGUCAUGGUGGGGACUCAUAGGAGACUGCCGGGGUCAACUCGGAGGAAGGUGGGGAUGACGUCAAGUCAUCAUGCCCCUUAUGUCCAGGGCUUCAAGCAUGCUACAAUGGCCGGUACAAUGGGCUGCGAUACCGCGAGGUGGAGCGAAUCCCAAAAAGCCGGUCUCAGUUCGGAUUGGGGUCUGCAACUCGACCUCCAUGAAGUCGGAGUCGCUAGUAAUCGCAGAUCAGCAACGCUGCGGUGAAUACGUUCCCGGGCCUUGUACACACCGCCCGUCACGUCAUGAAAGUCGGCAACACCCGAAGCCGGUGGCCUAACCCUUGUGGAGGGAGCCGUCGA
rnacentral:rRNA from 1 species